rnacentral:lncRNA from 1 species
CUGGAUAUUAUUCUUUAACAUUCUCAAUAUUAUAAUACUGAAGAGAGCCGUAGUAGACUUUUGUCUUUUAAGCUAACUCGCCAUAGCCGCCGCCGGAAAUCCCCAGAAUCUUCAUCAAUGGCGACGAACCCCAACGGCAGCUCUGGUAAAAUGGAAAUCGUAGUAUUCCCAUGGCUAGCAAUGGGUCACUUGAUCCCCUUCCUCCACUUCUCCAAGCUCUUAGCACAAAACGGCCACAAUAUCCACUUCGUCUCCACUCCCAAAAACCUCUCCAGACUACCCAAACUACCCCUCCGCCUCUCCUCCCAAAUCACCUUUGUGCCCUUCCCUUUACCGCCCGUCCCCAACCUACCUCCCGACGCCGAGUCCUCCAUGGACGUCCCUUACAACAACCAGCAGCUCCUCAAGAAGGCCUUCGACUCCCUCCGCCCUCCGCUGACUGAUUUCCUUCGCCAGCUUAAGCCCGAUUGGGUCAUCUACGACUACGCCUCUCACUGGCUUCCUUCAGCCGCCGCCGAUGCCGGCGGUGGCGGCAUCGGCUGCGCUUUCUUCAGUCUCUUCACUGCAACAACGCUCUGCUUCGUCGGUCCGCCUGGAGGCGAUUCAAGACGGAACGCGGAGGAUUUCACGGUGGUCCCUGAUUGGAUUCCGAUUGAAAUAAAAUCAAAUAUCGCGUAUCGCCUUCAUGAAGUUUCCAAGUAUGUGGAGAAGACCGAUGAGGAUACCUCCGGUCCUUCCGAUCAGAUCCGUUUCGCCGUCGCUAUGGAGGAGAGCAACGCCUUGCUCGUCAGAAGCUCGCGGGAGUUUGAACCUGAGUGGUUUGAACUUCUCGGUCAGAUGUAUAAGGAAAAGACGAUUAUACCCGUAGGAUUCCUCCCGCCGCCAAUAGCAGCAAACGACAAGGAGGAUCAAAACGACGCCGUUUGGAGGGAGAUCCGAGAUUGGUUGGACAAGCAGCGCG